rnacentral:lncRNA from 1 species
UUUUUUCUCUCUCCUUUCACAACAACAACAACAACACAUGCUAACAAUACAUGUAAUUCUAACUCUACUGCAGUUAUAACUAUAUACAAAUAUAAAUUCUGUAUUUUGUUUGAUAUAUUUAAUUCUAACUGUUGUAAUAGAAUUUGUAGGAGAAGGUCCAACUGCACUAGUUGAAACUAUGUCCAAAUUAACUGUCAAAAAACUACAUCAGCAAUUGGAGAGAGUAACUUUAAGUAAAAGAUAAGCUUAUCUUUCUAAUUAUAUAUUUCUUAAACAAAAAAAAUAUAUAUUUUUUACAUUAGAGGUAAUCUCACCAUCUUAUACAUAAAAUGAUAAAAUUUUAAAAAUUAUUUCUCAACUACAUGCAACUAAACAAAUUAUGUAUAGUUACAGCAUUUUUUACUACAUCCAACCAAACAGAAUACAUGUAGUUACAACUGUUGUACCUCUAACUGCGUGUAUCUUUAACUACACAGUAUUUUUAAUUACAUCUAACCAAACAUCCCCUAAGUGUUGAAGGU